AACAAUUGGAGGGCAAGUCUGGUGCCAGCAGCCGCGGUAAUUCCAGCUCCAAUAGCGUAUAUUAAAGUUGUUGCAGUUAAAAAGCUCGUAGUUGAAUUUCGGGACCAAUAUGUCGGUCGUGCUUCGGUACGUACUUGCAUUAUUGGUUUCUCCCUUCUGACGAACCAUGAUGUCAUUAAUUUGGUGUCUUGGGGAAUCAGGACUGUUACUUUGAAAAAAUUAGAGUGUUUAAAGCAGGCUCACGCUUGAAUACAUUAGCAUGGAAUAAUGAAAUAGGACGUUUGAUUCUAUUUUGUUGGUUUCUAGGAUCGACGUAAUGAUUAAUAGGGAUAGUUGGGGGCAUUAGUAUCCAAUUGUCAGAGGUGAAAUUCUUGGAUUUAUUGAAGACUAACUACUGCGAAAGCAUUUGCCAAGGAUGUUUUCAUUAAUCAAGAACGAAAGUUAGGGGAU
rnacentral:rRNA from 1 species